UUCCGGUUGAUCCCGCCGGAGGUCACUGCUAUUGGGAUUCGACUAAGCCAUGCGAGUCGUGAGGGUUCGGCCCUCGGCAGACGGCUCAGUUAACACGUAGAUAAUUUGCCCUUAGGUGGAGGAUACCCUCGGGAAACUGAGAAUAAUACUCCAUAGAUCUAGACUGCUGGAAUGCUUUUAGAUUGAAAGAUUUAUCGCCUAAGGAUAAGUCUGCGGACUAUCAGGUUGUAGUCAGGGUAACUACCUGACUAGCCUACGACGGAUACGGGUAGUGAGAGCUUUAGCCCGGAGAUGAUAUCUGAGACACGAUAUCAGGCCCUACGGGGCGCAGCAGGCGCGAAAACUUCGCACUGUGCGAAAGCACGACGAGGGAAUCCCAAGUGCUGGCUCGUAAGAGUCAGCUGUUUCUCUGUCUAAAAAAUAGAGAGAGUAAGGGCUGGGUAAGACGGGUGCCAGCCGCCGCGGUAAUACCUGCAGCUCAAGUGGUGACCGCUAUUAUUGGGCCUAAAACGUCCGUAGCCGGUUCUAUAAAUGCCUGGGUAAAUCGUACGGCUUAACCGUACGAAUUCCGGGUAGACUGUUCAACUUGGGACCGGGAGAGGCUAGAGGUACUCCUGGGGUAGAGGUGAAAUUCUGUAAUCCUAGGGGGACCACCAGUGGCGAAGGCGUCUAGCUAGAACGGGUCUGACGGUGAGGGACGAAGCCCUGGGGAGCAAACGGGAUUAGAUACCCCGGUAGUCCAGGGUGUAAACGCUGCUCGCUUGAUGUUAGUCGGGCUCCGAGCCCAACUAGUGUCGGAGAGAAAGUUGUUAAGCGAGCUGCCUGGGGAGUACGUCGCAAGACUGAAACUUAAAGGAAUUGGCGGGGGAGCACCGCAACGGGUGGGAGCGUGCGGUUUAAUUGGAUUCACGCCGG
rnacentral:rRNA from 1 species